ensembl:snRNA U6 U6 spliceosomal RNA
GUGACCCACCACGCCUGGCCACAUAUAUUAAAAUUGGAAUGUUACAGAGAAGAUUAGCAUGGCCCCCAAGCAAGGAUGACAGGCAAAUUUGUGAAGUGUUCCGUAUUUUU